rnacentral:tRNA from 1 species
GCGUCGGUGGUUCAGUGGUAGAAUACUCGCCUGCCACGCGGGUGGCCCGGGUUCGAUUCCCCGCCGACGCA